UCGCCAAUGCCAGAGCCGUCGCCGACCACCUCGGCACCAACCACCACGAGUUCCACUUCACGCCCGAGGAGGCCAUCGACGCCGUGCCCAAGGUC
rnacentral:ribozyme from 1 species